UCAACUCCUAUUACUAGAGCUUCCUUUCAGUAUGACAACCUCACUGAACUGAAGUGUGGACACAGGAGAGAGAUCAAUGUGGAAUCUGUACACAGCCGGUUGGGGAACGCUCUUCUUCUUUGUUCCGCGAUUGGUAAUCUCACCUCUAGUGAGAUGAACCUGGCAGGUUCCUACAUCCUCCUUAUAAAAUUUUCAUAGCAUCGUCGACGCUGCAUUGUGACUAUCUCUCUGGUCACUAUUGUGUGCUUGUGCCUCCGUACUACACCCGUGUUUAUGCGAACCAGGUGGGGCUGAAUAUUCCGUAUUUUUGCCUUGCUCAACGGCUUGUGUGCAAAUCUUCGUCGGUAUCAUAUGUUCUGUGAGGCGGUAUGGUAUUUACCCUGCUGAAAUGCGUGUCGAAUAGUCUCACAGUAAAGGUGCUUGAUGAGGUCAUGUCGCAUUCUUUAUGUGUCUUUUAUUCACGCAUUAUACAGUAUUUGCAUCUACAGCGUCAGGUUUGGUCAACGAAAGCGUCAA
rnacentral:misc_RNA from 1 species